AGCGGGGUGGGGUAGCCAGGAUAUCCCGUCGGGCUCAUAACCCGGAGAUCGAUGGUUCAAAAGGACCGGCAGGACCCGCCUCCA
rnacentral:tRNA from 1 species